GCCACACUGGGGUAAGAAAAGAGUUAUGUGUCUUUCAAAUUAAUUGAUGUUGUUGUCUUCCCUGCAUCAAAAGUUUAACUGUAAUGUCUAAGAAAUAAAAAAACUGCCAGAAGAGCCAGCUCUUCCAGUCUGUUCCUCUUCCAUUACCAUCAAUCCUGGUUUUGAUCUGCUUGUAGCACCAGCUAUUGGCUGUGUAAAGAACCUUAAAAAGAUAGUAGACUGUUUGAAUGCAAUAUAUUACAGAGAGAAAGCAACAACUGUUGUGAAGCACUUUUUGAGUGGGAAUAUCUGCUCUCUGUUAGAUCUCACCUGCCAGAAAUAUUUGCGGGACUCAAAAAUGCUGGUGCUACUUAUCAUAUGAAUGCUGUGAUCCAGCAGCCAUAUAUAUCUAUAUAUAUGUUAUAGAUAUACAUACGUGUGUGUAUGUGUUUCCCCCCACACUGAAAACAGUAUUCUUGCAAUUGAAUGCAUAGGUAAAAAUAUAGAUAAUGAUUGUUUGAAGAUGAGAAGCAGAACAGUGAGUCAUUAAUGUUGAUCCCCAAGGUAAUUUAUCAGAAUAUUUUUAUUAAUUGGAAGACAAUCCAGAGUUAAUAAAGACAGAAGAUAGAAAAGAGAACAAUAUUUGUGUCAUAAGACAUCUUCAAGACAUCUUUGUUCAUUGAGCUGUUUUCAAAGUACAAUCAUAUGUACCCAAAGAAUUUUGGUAACAGUUAUG
rnacentral:lncRNA from 10 species